UACGUAGGGGGCAAGCGUUGUCCGGAUUUAUUGGGCGUAAAGAGCGUGUAGGCGGCUAGGUAGGUCCGUUGUGAAAACUCGAGGCUCAACCUCGAGACGCCGAUGGAAACCAUCUGGCUAGAGUCCGGAAGAGGAGAGUGGAAUUCCUGGUGUAGCGGUGAAAUGCGUAGAUAUCAGGAGGAACACCGGUGGUGUAGACGGCUCUCUGGACCGUAACUGACGCUGAGACACGAAAGCGUGGGGAGCAAACAGG
rnacentral:rRNA from 1 species